CUUACAGUUAAAGAAAACAAAAUCAAUGAACGUGAGCUCCAUCAAGGUGCUUAGUUUCCACUCAGAAGAUAUUCCAGACCCGAAUACACUGCAGACAGGCACUUAACCACCUGGAUUCAUAUGGGAAGAAGGCAGUAGGUUAUCCCUCAGACCCAAGGCUGAUACACUGAGCUCAGGAGAUGGAGGCACUGCUCCUGCGGCUUCCAGUCUGUGUGUGUGAGAGAGAUCUGUGCCAGGUGCUUCAGCAACUUGAGUUGAUGUUGGCAUUUUUUGACUUCUGAGGAAGCAUAAGUGUGGUCUGGAGGACUAGCAUUGACUGUUCUGCCUCAGCUGAAAUCUGGGCAACAUCUGAGAGGCUCUGCCAAGCGUCAGAGGAGGCAGGAUUUGCUCCCUGAGUGCCAUGGGAGGUUAAGUUUGUGUGUUGCAUCUUGUCUUGAGGCCUAAUAUAGCAUCUCAUACACUCAGAAGAGAGACUAAUUUUUGAGUGGAAACCCAAAUCAACUUGUUUAAAGACAACAAGGAAACCAGUAAACAAAUACAACAAAAGCAAAAGAAAUCAAUUCAGCCAGGAAAAUAGCACAGUUUUUACAUCCUUUGUAAUGUUACUGAUGAAUGUCUUGUGCUUAACCUCUUUUAUUGCCUCUUAUUUUGAAUUAACAGUUUGGUUAGCCUAGAGAUUAUGUAUGUUUUCUUAUUAUUUAGGAUAUAUUUUCUAUGUCAUAUAUGGAAUUUUUAACCGUUUUUCUUAUUGAAUAUGAAGUUGCCAUCACCUCCAUAUUUCAGUCUGGUCAUAGUUAGAAUUUUUCAGACCACACACAGGCCAGCUUCUUACUUUU